AUGGCUUUCUCCUAUACAAAUUUCUUUUGAGUACCUUCGUUUCCUCGGCGGGUCCGCCCGCCGAUUGGACAACAUUCAAACCCUUUGCAGUUGCAAUCAGCGUCUGAAAAAACAUAAUAGUUACAACUUUCAACAACGGAUCUCUUGGUUCUGGCAUCGAUGAAGAACGCAGCGAAAUGCGAUAAGUAGUGUGAAUUGCAGAAUUCAGUGAAUCAUCGAAUCUUUGAACGCACAUUGCGCCCCUUGGUAUUCCAUGGGGCAUGCCUGUUCGAGCGUCAUUUGUACCUUCAAGCUCUGCUUGGUGUUGGGUGUUUGUCUCGCCUCUGCGUGUAGACUCGCCUUAAAACAAUUGGCAGCCGGCGUAUUGAUUUCGGAGCGCAGUACAUCUCGCGCUUUGCACUCAUAACGACGACGUCCAAAAGUACAUUUUUACACUCUUGACCUCGGAUCAGGUAGGGAUACCCGCUGAACUUAAGCAUAUCAAUAAGCGGAGGAAAAA
rnacentral:rRNA from 1 species